rnacentral:rRNA from 1 species
CCGAUCACCGAAGUUAAGCAACGUCAAGCCUGAUCAGUACCUAGAUGGGUGACCACUUGGGAAUACCAGGUGUUGUAA